rnacentral:rRNA from 1 species
AUGGCGGGAGCAGUGCCUCUGGCGCCGCCGAUGGUGGCCGCGGCGAGGCCGGCGGCGGGCUCGCUCUACGAAGCGCUGCGCGUGGGCCGCGCGGCGACGCAGGUGGAGAUCAGGACCGCGUACCGCUCCAUGGCCAAGCGCCUCCACCCCGACGUCGCCUCCUGCGGCCACGGGGGCCCCGAGGCGUUCCUGGAGAUCCGGAGGGCGUACGAGACGCUGUCGGACCCGGCGGCCAGGGCGCGCUACGACUGCUCGCUCGGGGUGUUCCGCGGUGGGGGCGCCGGCGGCGUGAUGCGGGUGCGGAGGUGGGAGACGGACCAGUGCUGGUGA